rnacentral:rRNA from 1 species
UACGGAGGGGGCGAGCGUUAUUCGGAAUUAUUGGGCGUAAAGGGCGCGUAGGCGGCGCGGUAAGUCAAAGGUGAAAUCCCUCGGCUCAACUGAGGAACUGCCUUUGAGACUGCCGGGCUCGAGGCCGGGAGGGGGUAGCGGAAUUCCCAGUGUAGCGGUGAAAUGCGUAGAUAUUGGGAGGAACACCAGUGGCGAAGGCGGCUACCUGGACCGGUUCUGACGCUGAUGCGCGAAAAGCGUGGGUAGCAAACAGGA